AGACAACAAAAUGUUUAAUAUUAUUAUUUUGCCACCUUAGGUCGAUCGGUAUCUCACGUUCUUAAUUCAUUAAGAAUUUCAUUUCCUAAGUUUUUCUAGGUCACACCCAUUUUUUUCCUGGGCCAUUAGCUCAGGUGGUUAGAGCGCACCCCUGAUAAGGGUGAGGUCCCUGGUUCAAGUCCAGGAUGGCCCAUAUCUCUAUGUUGGGGGUAUAGCUCAGUUGGUAGAGCGCCUGCUUUGCAAGCAGGAUGUCAGCGGUUCGAGUCCGCUUACCUCCACUGAUUACCACCUCUUCCAUAAUCUGUAGAAAGGAAAUUUUUUGAGUUGUGAUCAAAUUCUGAACGAAUCUAGCUUCCUAAUGAAAUCAUUAAGAUGCUGGACUCAUUGAAUUAAUUUCAUUGUUUUCAGAGAACCUUGACAACUGCAUAGAUUAUUUUUAAAGACAAUAAGCAUCUUUAAUGAUGCAGAUUUAUUAUUUGUGCGAAUGCAUUAAUAACAAUUCUAUUAAGCUGAUGCUUCAAUUUUGAAGUUAUU
rnacentral:tRNA from 1 species